AGUUCAGAUUGCAGGCUGCAACCCGCCUGCAUGAAGUCGGAAUUGCUAGUAAUCGCGGAUCAGCAUGCCGCGGUGAAUACGUUCCCGGGCCUUGUACACACCGCCCGUCACACCAUGGGAGCCGGUAAUACCCGAAGUCAGUAGUCCAACCACGUGAGGACGCUGCCGAAGGUAGGAUUGGCGACUGGGGUGAAGUCGUAACAAGGUAUC
rnacentral:rRNA from 1 species